CUAAUAAAGCCAGAGGUAUAAAAAGCAAAAAACCGUUGUCUUUCUCAGAUCCAGGUAAUGGGUUCUGGUUUCCCGAUGGUCUCUCCGGCCACCUGAGGUGAGUUCAACUGUGAGAUUGAAAAAGAUGGAAAGGUCCUGAUUCGAGGGGUGACAUCAACUGGUGGAAGAACCGUUUCAAGAUAUUCUCAGGUCUUUGAUAUGAAAAUCCAGCAACAAUGUCCAUGAGGAGCUUUCACUGUCUCCUUUAGUUUGCCCUGGGCCUGUCGAUCCAAGGUUGUUUUCACCAAAUUUCAGAUCUGAGGGCAUUUUUUAGGCUGUUGUGGUGAAGUACGACCCGGUAGGUCAUGUGAACAACCAUUUAAGCCAGACCCACCACAGAAAGCUCUUCUCAGUGGAGCCAAUGUGCUGUGUGUACUAAACUUGUAGAUAAUGUUUUACCAUGUAAAUAGAGACAAUUACAGUUCAAAUGAUUCCCUAUUUUGUUUUGGAUCACCAAAAUAGCACUGAAAACUGAGGAUAGUCAAGACAGGAAGUUGGAACCUAGUUUUCUGAAAUCCACUUGCUAAGAUUUUGUUUUUUUCAUGGAUAAUGAAAUCUACUUGAGCUUUGUCUUAAAAUUAGGGUAGUGAAAAUUGUGCUUAAAUGGUGUUGAAAUUGUGCUUAAAUGGUGCUGAAAUUGUGUUGAAAGGGUGCUGAAAAUGAACUAAUUUAUAGCUGCAUUAGCUGCUGAAAAACAGCCAAAAUGCACCUAUUUCGCACGCAAUUGCUGCUGCAUUAUGUGCUGAAAUGCAGUCAAUAUAGCACUGAAAUGAUUUUGUUUUGGAUCACCAAAAUAGCACUGAAAACUAAGGAUAGUAAAGACAGGAAGUUGGAACCUAGUUUUCUGGUUUUUUUCUUUUUGUCAUGAUAGGAACCUAUUGUCCUGAAAUCCACUUGCUAAAUUGGAACCUAGUUUUCUGAAGAUAAGCGAAAAGGCAUAUUGUCCAAAAUUGCUUCUUGUUUUGUUCUGCGAAAGCUGUCUUCUUCAGAAUGCUGUUAGAAGAAAAUAAAUGAAAAGAAAAAUUACACAUGGACACUUCCAGCGGUAUGUAUAACAUGAAAAGGUUGAAACUUGAAACUCAGUAAGGUUCUUUUCUUUGGAAGUUAUUAUCCCAUAAUUUUCCAUUUUUCUCUUAAAAUUUUUGUUGCUCGGAUCUAACACUUUUUGCUUUGUUAUCACUUAUCUGAUACAGGUUGCAAAGGGUUUUGGUCUAGAGUUCAUUCUUUUAUAUAUCAGAUUGAAGCAGCUAAAUGGAGGAAGAAGAGAUGUCUGUUUUUAUUCGAUGUGGCAAUUUAUAACGUCAGUCCUAGCUGGAACACCUGCUUUCCCAUGCCCUCAUCAGCUGCUACAAGGCACCUCACUUGACACUCUUCUUUGUGUGAAUCCUUCUUUGAAGAAGUCGACGGAUAUAUUUCCUCAAGAUGUAGGUAGAGAAAAAGCAAAGUUGGACUCGUCAAAGGCUAAUCAUUGGGAAUGAUUCUUAACUAACGCCCACAUUGCUUUUAUGCACAUUAUCAAAGAAAGAGGGGACCUUUGAAGCUAGCUCGACCUGCCUUCACCAUACUACCAACUUAUACUAUUAUGUUGCUAACUUUUGAUCUCUUUGUUUGGGAUAACUUAUUUAUAUCAUAGUGAUGGGAUAAGUUAUCCCUGAAUAAUUAAUCAUGGGAUAGCUUAUUUCCAACCAAACGGAACCAACAAAAUAAGAAAUUAAAAGGUGUGAUUUGGAUGUGGAUGAGAGUAGAUUUCUUGUUAAAUGGUUUUCCUUGCAAUCUACUGAUCCUUUUAAUAAAGCACAAAAAAAAAAAGCAGAUCAUUCCCAUCACCAAGAUUCACUUUGAUGUUUAUUCCCCUUAGCUACUUUUGUCUACAUAUAUAUAUGUUACCUCUCUUGCAAAUUGUUUUAUCCAUUAUUCUUCUUCCUUUGUGCCAUUUUCCAGCACACACACACUACUUCCUCACUCUAUCAUUCCACCUUGUUUGUUGCUUAAUUAGUCACUCCAUCGAUCAUGAACAUGGAGACAGUUGAAUUGAAGGUAGAGAUGGUUGGAAUACAUGAGAAAAGAGUGAGGAAAUGUCUCUCUAAAUUAAAAGGAAUAGAUAAAGUAGAAGUGGAAGGGAAGAGUGAGAAAGUGGUUGUGAUGGGGUAUGCACACAAAAACAGAAUACUAAAAGCAAUAAGGAGAAGUGGUCUUAAAGCUGAUUUUUGGUCACCUCAAAAUGAACUUCUUCAAGCUUACGCUGCUUCUUACUCUUCUAAUUUCACUUUUAACAAAUUCUCCUUCUUUAAUUGAAUGAAUACCAAAUUUGUUCUCUUAAUUAAUUUCCUCAACAUAGUGUAUACAAUGGAAGAGUUUUCGAUUCAGUUUGAUGCAUGUACUCUUUGUUA